rnacentral:misc_RNA from 1 species
GAUGAAGAACGCAGCGAAAUGCGAUAAGUAAUGUGAAUUGCAGAAUUCAGUGAAUCAUCGAAUCUUUGAACGCACAUUGCGCCCCCAGUAUUCUGGCGGGCAUGCCUGUUCGAGCGUCAUUUCAACCAUCAAGCCCUGCUUGUGUUGGGGUCCUGCGGCUGCCCGCAGGCCCUGAAAACCAGUGGCGGGCUCGCUAGUCACACCGAGCGCAGUAGCACAUCUCGCUCAGGGCGUGCGGCGGGCUCCAGCCGUUAAAGCACCCACCUUUCGCAAGGUUGACCUCGGAUCAGGUAGGAAUACCCGCUGAACUUAAGCAUAUCAAUAAGCGGAGGU